GGGUCAGUAGGUUGGUCGUGCCACCGGUACGUACUGGUCUCACUGAUUCCUCCUUCCUGAAGAACCGUAAUGCCAUUAAUUUGGUGUUGCGGGGAAACAGGACUGUUACUUUGAAAAAAUUAGAGUGUUUAAAGCAGGCUAACGCUUGAAUACAUUAGCAUGGAAUAAUGAAAUAGGACGAUCGAUCCUAUUUUGUUGGCUUCUAGGAUUGACGUA
rnacentral:rRNA from 1 species